rnacentral:rRNA from 1 species
GUAAGGAAUAUUGGUCAAUGGACGAAAGUCUGAACCAGCCAUGCCGCGUGGAGGAUGAAGGUCCUCUGGAUUGUAAACUUCUUUUAUAUGGGACGAAAAUGGGGCUUUCUAGCUCAACUGACGGUACCAUAUGAAUAAGCACCGGCUAACUCCGUGCCAGCAGCCGCGGUAAUACGGAGGGUGCAAGCGUUAUCCGGAUUCACUGGGUUUAAAGGGUGCGUAGGUGGAUUGGUAAGUCAGAGGUGAAAUCUCCGGGCUCAACUCGGAAACUGCCUUUGAUACUAUCAAUCUUGAAUAUUGUGGAGGUUAGCGGAAUAUGCCAUGUAGCGGUGAAAUGCUUAGAUAUGACAUAGAACACCAAUUGCGAAGGCAGCUGGCUACACAUAUAUUGACACUGAGGCACGAAAGCGUGGGGAUCAAACAGGAUUAGAAACCCCUGUAGUCC